CCACGGAGCAUUGCUCUGUGGGAUCAGUGGCGAACGGGUGAGUAACACGUGAGCAACCUGCCCCUGACUCUGGGAUAAGCGCUGGAAACGGCGUCUAAUACUGGAUAUGUGACGUGACCGCAUGGUCUGCGUUUGGAAAGAUUUUUCGGUUGGGGAUGGGCUCGCGGCCUAUCAGCUUGUUGGUGAGGUAAUGGCUCACCAAGGCGUCGACGGGUAGCCGGCCUGAGAGGGUGACCGGCCACACUGGGACUGAGACACGGCCCAGACUCCUACGGGAGGCAGCAGUGGGGAAUAUUGCACAAUGGGCGGAAGCCUGAUGCAGCAACGCCGCGUGAGGGAUGACGGCCUUCGGGUUGUAAACCUCUUUUAGCAGGGAAGAAGCGAAAGUGACGGUACCUGCAGAAAAAGCGCCGGCUAACUACGUGCCAGCAGCCGCGGUAAUACGUAGGGCGCAAGCGUUAUCCGGAAUUAUUGGGCGUAAAGAGCUCGUAGGCGGUUUGUCGCGUCUGCUGUGAAAUCCCGAGGCUCAACCUCGGGCCUGCAGUGGGUACGGGCAGACUAGAGUGCGGUAGGGGAGAUUGGAAUUCCUGGUGUAGCGGUGGAAUGCGCAGAUAUCAGGAGGAACACCGAUGGCGAAGGCAGAUCUCUGGGCCGUAACUGACGCUGAGGAGCGAAAGGGUGGGGAGCAAACAGGCUUAGAUACCCUGGUAGUCCACCCCGUAAACGUUGGGAACUAGUUGUGGGGUCCAUUCCACGGAUUCCGUGACGCAGCUAACGCAUAAGUCCCGCUG
rnacentral:rRNA from 1 species